rnacentral:rRNA from 1 species
GGGGUAUGGAUGAAGUGCUUACUGCAUUUUUUCUUACACAUGUGUUUUUCUUUUUUUGAAAACUUUGCUUUGGUAGGCCUUCUAUAUGGGGCCUGCCAGAGAUUAAACUCAACCAAAUUUUAUUUAAUGUCAACCGAUUAUUUAAUAGUCAAAACUUUCAACAACGGAUCUCUUGGUUCUCGCAUCGAUGAAGAACGCAGCGAAAUGCGAUAAGUAAUAUGAAUUGCAGAUAUUCGUGAAUCAUCGAAUCUUUGAACGCACAUUGCGCCCUUUGGUAUUCCAAAGGGCAUGCCUGUUUGAGCGUCAUUUCUCCCUCAAACCCUCGGGUUUGGUGUUGAGCGAUACGCUGGGUUUGCUUGAAAGAAAGGCGGAGUAUAAACUAAUGGAUAGGUUUUUUCCACUCAUUGGUACAAACUCCAAAACUUCUUCCAAAUUCGACCUCAAAUCAGGUAGGACUACCCGCUGAACUUAAGCAUAUCAAUAAGCGGAGGAA